UACAGAGGUCUCAAGCGUUGUUCGGAUUCAUUGGGCGUAAAGGGUGUGUAGGUGGCGCCGUAAGUCAGGUGUGAAAUCUCGGGGCUUAACUCCGAAACUGCAUUUGAUACUGCGGUGCUUGAGGACUGGAGAGGAGACUGGAAUUUAUGGUGUAGCAGUGAAAUGCGUAGAUAUCAUAAGGAAGACCAGUGGCGAAGGCGGGUCUCUGGGACAGUUCCUGACACUGAGACACGAAGGGCCAGGGGAGCAAACGGG
rnacentral:rRNA from 1 species